GAUGAACGCUGGCGGCGUGCCUAAUACAUGCAAGUCGAGCGAACAGAUAAGAAGCUUGCUCCUUUGACGUUAGCGGCGGACGGGUGAGUAACACGUGGGUAACCUACCUAUAAGACUGGGAUAACUUCGGGAAACCGGAGCUAAUACCGGAUAACAUUUGGAACCGCAUGGUUCUAAAGUGAAAGAUGGUUUUGCUAUCACUUAUAGAUGGACCCGCGCCGUAUUAGCUAGUUGGUAAGGUAACGGCUUACCAAGGCGACGAUACGUAGCCGACCUGAGAGGGUGAUCGGCCACACUGGAACUGAGACACGGUCCAGACUCCUACGGGAGGCAGCAGUAGGGAAUCUUCCGCAAUGGGCGAAAGCCUGACGGAGCAACGCCGCGUGAGUGAUGAAGGGUUUCGGCUCGUAAAACUCUGUUAUUAGGGAAGAACAAAUGUGUAAGUAACUGUGCACGUCCUGACGGUACCUAAUCAGAAAGCCACGGCUAACUACGUG
rnacentral:rRNA from 1 species